UACGUAGGGUGCAAGCGUUGUCCGGAAUUAUUGGGCGUAAAGAGCUCGUAGGUGGUUUGUCGCGUUGUUCGUGAAACUCACAGCUUAACUGUGGGCGUGCGGGCGAUACGGGCAGACGUUGAGUACUGCAGGGGAGACUGGAAUUCCUGGUGUAGCGGUGGAAUGCGCAGAUAUCAGGAGGAACACCGGUGGCGAAGGCGGGUCUCUGGGCCGAUACUGACGCUGAGGAGCGAAAGCGUGGGGAGCGAACAGG
rnacentral:rRNA from 1 species